UUGGGUUGUCAAGGUAAUUUGAAUUGGAAAAUCGUGUUGGAUUAGUGAGAUUAGGAAUAAUCACAUGCAUUUGACUAUGGUGGGGUCAAGUAAAGUUGGGUUGGGAUUUGGGGUUGAUCACCUUACGUUAGAAUUAGGGUGGGGUCAGGUUGAGAGUGUGAUGAUCUUGAUGUUGACAUUUAACCUGACUCAAACCUACUGGAAAAAAUGGACACCAAAGAAAAACUAUUCUGAAGCCUAUUCGUAAAAGCCUGUAUUUACGAUAGUUCAAUGCACUGUGACAUUGGCGUGCAUACAUGCAUGUACGGGCCUGUCUGCUAAACAUCAAACACCACAAAAAAUAAAAAUAAAAAAAUAAAAAUGCUCAGAUCUUUUUAGUUAAUUGAUGACGUGGUGCAAACCUGGACACGCGAAUUUAGAGUUUUAUGUAUCCAUGUUACUAGGCCACGUCACAGUCGUUGAGAAGGCAGAGGAUUAGUUGAGACCCAGGAUCCACCGAGGUGGGUAGGACCCCAACUGUGGGGCUCACACUGAUUUAAGUGCCUUAAAUCCUGUUUUCCCUAGUUUUCUGCCUGGAGUUGUGUUUGGUUUGUUUCAGAUCUUAACUGAAAUCAUAUCUAGCUUUGCAUUAUGUCUGCUGCUGAAAGGGGCAACUUCCAGAUGUAUCUAGAUGUAUCUGUAAUGAUUGCAAUCAUAUCUAGGUUUAUGCUCUUUUGGAUACUAUUGACUCUAUGGAUCAUUUAAAAUAGGGAUUUUCAUAAAUUAGUACCUCACUAAUUGGAUUUUUGCAUUCCAUUACAUCUGUGUUGGCAACGUAGUCUGGCUCCUGGAGAACGAUGAAGUUCCUUGUGAUCUUGUUUCAAUUGGUACUUCCAACCCACAAGGCAUCUGUUAUGUUGAGGUGAAAGCAUGACCAAUAUCAUUGUGUCCAAUGAUCUGCAUAGAAGUCGCAAUGCAUGCUAACAGUCUCGUUUCAUAAUGGCAGCUUGCUUGGGAACACCAAUCUGUCGGGACCUAUUCCGGAUCUCAGCCCAUUAAGGAGGUUGGAUAGAUUGUAAGUUUGUGGGGUUUCUCCAUUUUCUUUGUUUGAUCGUUGUGCUUAUUUUCUGAUUUUAUGUUAUCUUUUCUUCAUGGCAUUUUCAGGAAUUCGAAUUCUUCUUAAACCAACACUUACUUGAGGAUUACCUUCUCAUGUGUACAAGAACCGCCCCUCGAAUAUCUCUCACAUUCCAUGAGGAAAUCUCUAGAGAGACAUUCUCUUCAAAACCUCGUAGAAAGCAAUGAAAAUAUACUUCAAGUUCUUAACACAUGGUAGAAAUUUUGACGAUUGUUGUACAUUUGAAGACAAUGGGUAGGUUGUUAAAGCAGACAAUCAGAGGGAAACCACAUCUAAAAAGAUGUUUUAAUAUGUUGCUGGUAAUCAAACUAGACGAACACAAAAUUUCAUAGAGAGGCCUAAGGGUUACUAUUGCAAUGCAUCAGGUCAAUAUACCUCUAUAGCAAAGCUAUCUGUGGUAUUGUUCAAGCAUUGGAGACAAGGAUCCACAGGUAUGAUGUUUCUAUGCUUAGGAUUAGCACUGUUACGGAAUUCAACUACUUGUGAUAACUGUUUAAUAUCAUGUGUAUGCUAAUUUUCAAAGCCUCUGGCACAUACAUAUUUCGACCAGAUGGCGCUCCUAAAACAGCUGCUUCAAGAUCGGUACCCUUGAAGAUUGUGCGAGGACCUCUAGUUGAUGAAGUUCAUCAACAAUUUAAUCUAUGGAUUUAUCAGGUUCUCUACCUUUUAUUCACCUAUCAAAUGGCCAUUUCAUCAAGAUUAAUUUAUAAUAUAGCUUAAUAGGAUUCUUUAUUCAAAAACAUCUCUAGUGUUUCAGAGUCACAAAAUUUUAUCUCUUUCUAUUUAAAUAAUUUAUAAAUCAUUUCAUUAUAUUGUUC